rnacentral:lncRNA from 1 species
UAUAAAGUUAGCCCAGUGCAGCUCCAGCACCACCAAAAUGGGUGAUUAUUUUCUAAAAGCCCUUAAGUAUUCAGAAAAAAACCUUUACAUAAACCCAUGUUUUUUUCUUUCACUCAGUAUUUUAAAGAUCCUGUCCGCUUUCUUCCAGCGUGAAUUGUUUCUGAUGUAAAAUCUGCUGUCUUCUUUAUGACUGUUCCUCUGUAUAUAAUGUCUCUAUUUUCUUCUGGCUCCUUUGAUCUCUGUUAAUCAAAAUGUGUCUUGAUGUAGUUUUCAUUAUUCCUGCCACUUUGGAAAGAAGGUACCCGCUUCCUGCCAGAAUUGUAAGUUUCCUGAGGCCCCCCCACUAGCCAUGCAGAACUGUGAGUCAAUUAAACCUCUUUCCCUUAUAAAUUACCCAGUCUCAGGCUGGGCACGGUGGCUCAUGCCUGUAAUCCCAGCAGUUAGGGAGGCCAAGGCAGGCGGAUCACAAGGUCAGGAGAUCAAGACCAUUCUGGCUAACACGGUGAAACC